GUUAAGCGACUAAGCGUACACGGUGGAUGCCCUGGCAGUCAGAGGCGAUGAAGGGCGUGCUAAUCUGCGAUAAGCGCCGGUAAGGUGAUAUGAACCGUUAUAACCGGCGAUACCCGAAUGGGGAAACCCAGUGUGAUUCGUCACACUAUCAUUAACUGAAUCCAUAGGUUAAUGAGGCGAACCGGGGGAACUGAAACAUCUAAGUACCCCGAGGAAAAGAAAUCAACCGAGAUUCCCCCAGUAGCGGCGAGCGAACGGGGAGGAGCCCAGAGCCUGAAUCAGCAUGUGUGUUAGUGGAAGCGUCUGGAAAGGCGCGCGAUACAGGGUGACAGCCCCGUACACAAAAGCGCAUGUGCUGUGAGCUCGAUGAGUAGGGCGGGACACGUGGUAUCCUGUCUGAAUAUGGGGGGACCAUCCUCCAAGGCUAAAUACUCCUGACUGACCGAUAGUGAACCAGUACCGUGAGGGAAAGGCGAAAAGAACCCCGGCGAGGGGAGUGAAAAAGAACCUGAAACCGUGUACGUACAAGCAGUGGGAGCACAGGUUUACCUGUGUGACUGCGUACCUUUUGUAUAAUGGGUCAGCGACUUAUAUUCUGUAGCAAG
rnacentral:rRNA from 1 species